UCCAGUCAAACCCUGUCAGAGGAGGAGAACGGAAAAACAGAGCAAAAGUGGGUGAGUCAUCAGACUUCUCUAUGCAGGCGUGUGCUGAAGAAAGGUGGGAACGGGGAACAUAUGGCAACGUGUAAAACUGAAUUUACACCUCAGAUUGGCCCUGUGUGCAGGAAGCAGCAGUUCAACACCUACUGAUGGAAAUGACUAAGAACUGCAACAUGAGUGAGAGAGCACUGAAUAUUACUGAUGCUAAUGGGGUCCAUUCACUACAGGUGCUCUAUCAUACUUCCUGUGCACCGACUGUAGACAAACAACAACAAUGACAUGCAUAACUAUUGUCCUCUGUGACCUUGGAUGAGCUUUUGAGGUCUAAAUGUGACCUCAGCUUAUAUUUAGACAUUUGUAAGUUGAACAACUUCACCAAUUUUGUCUUCUUAAAGAUCCUGGGAGCACUACUUCAUAUGUGGCUGAAAGUUGUAUGAAACAUUUUGCAGCAGAUAGAAGUGCACCGAAUCUGAUAAACUGCUUCUGGGGAUGACACUUGAUUCAACAUCUGCUGGGUCUCAAGACUGUGAGACUGAAAAUGAAAAAAAUAUGAAAGUGUGGAUUUACAGAGGAACUAGUUUACCAGACCACUGGAACCCACUCCUCAGUUCUGCUGGAGGUUCCAGUUUGAGGCUAUGUUUGUUGGUACUAGUUUAAAACACCUGAAUCUCCAACCAAACUGCUGGGGGUUGAGCUGCAUUGUGGGUAAUGUAGGUGGCAAGAAGAAGACGUGUAUAUAUAGUUCAAUAUCUUUGCUUUGCUGAAUCGAUUUUAAUCCUUUUGUUGCAACAAGAGUCCCACAGUGUUACACAAGGUGAUGCUAAAUUAGUGGAGUUAUCUUCUAACAAACAAUCAGUUUUAUAGAGUUCUAUAGUGUUUUAUUAAGCUGAACCCUGUGAGGGCCUAAAACUGACAAUAUUUUGACCUCUGCUGAUUCAUUUCUGACCAUUCAGUCAAUCUCUUUUGAGUGAAAUUAAUUGAAAAUCACAAAUAAAUAGUGACUGUUAUGAUCUCUGCUCCAGUCCCUGUUUCUCUCCUUCAUUCUCCCUCCUGGUCUCUCCUUCUUCCUCCUGUUCUCUCUGUAUCUGUCUUCUGUUUUGAUCUGUCUGUCCCUUUGGCUCCCUCUGUCUGUCAUCUCUCUCCCUCUUCUCUCCCUCGUCCCUGUGUCUCUCUCUCCCUGCAUCACCUGUCUGCACUCAGCUGAUUACUGCAGGUGACACUCGUUGCUGUAAUCAGCUCACCUGCCCUCAAUCUCACCUGCUCACUAUUUAAACCUCAUUCCUUCACUCACUCUCUGCUGGAUCAUAAAGAACCACAUCCCUUCAGAGACUUUGCUCCCCUUUUGGCUCCUGUUCUCCCCACUGAGCCCUGCUACCUCUCCACUGCUUCAGCCCCCAUGGAUUCCCUGAGUUUGCUUCCCUGUCCCUUCCCUCUUGUUUUUCCCCUGGUUUCUUCCAGGUGAUGCUGCACCAUCUGAACUUACUCUGGCACCAGGCAGACCAGACUCUCCAGGACGGCCGGGGUCACCGUUGGCACCCUUAGGACCACUGGCUCCAGAGGGUCCACGCUCACCGGGGGCUCCCUAUGUGAAGAGAAACGCCAUAAAACGGGAGUUAGUAGGUCAGUCACUUAAUAGCUGACCCCAAGGAUAAAUGAGUUUCCCUUUUAAUAGUGUAAAGGAGCUUCAUUGACCAGCUGGAGAUGUGAAGAUUAACUCCUGACAGAUUCAUUUUGGUAUAAAUGAAAGUGUCUGCGGGAAGAUAAUGCUAAAUGAGAUUUUGGUGCUGAUGAUUGUGGGGCAUGUAGGUCAGUGGUGCAUGAUGGGCUUGAGAUCUGUGCUGCCAUCCUGUGGCCACAUAGUGGCAUUACAGAAUUCAGAAGAGGAAAUGGGAGUGCUGAGAAUUUUCAAAAAACAAAUUAUCUCCUUCAUUAACUCAUCAGCUUGGUGCUGAUCCGAGUUUCAUGUGAAACAUGAAGAGAAUUAUUCUUGCUUCAUCGGCCACAUAAUUCUAAAAUCUGUAGUCUGCUUUGUGUGAGUUUACCUGAUUUGAGAAUUAUUAAGAAUUAAUGGGUUGGAAAAGUGUUUAUCAGCAACGUCAUCAGGGACAACGAAGUCAAUAAAAAUGCUCAGUGAAAGCUUUUAUGCCAAAAUCUUGUUAACUGCCAUUUUGUUUGUUUAAUAAUAAAUAAAUAUAAUUUUAAAAAUAAA